GAGGAUACUGAAGUGGCCAUGCUGGGAGUGGAGUGUGGAGCAAAUACUUGCUUACUGACAAGCUAAUGAUGCCAUGGUAUUGUCCUGGGAAGGAAUAUAAGAAAAUGGAGAAGAGAAGCACAAUAACAAGUUCAGAAAGAUGAUAUUUUCACCACUCAGAAUUUUAGGUUCACAUUUAAAGAAUCUUAUGGAAGUCGGAAAAGGAAAGAACCAAUACAGCCUUUUCAGUUGUGGAAGAAUUAUUUGAAAUAAAGAAUUGGAGGCUGUGCCCCAAUAAAAUGAGAGAGAAGACCAAGGAAAAGGAAGAGACGGGGUCCUGAAAAGAGGGAAGACACGGUGAAGGGAAUUGUCAGGAUGACGGCCGUGUGCCAGAUCCGGAGAGCAGCAGUCUACAUGGAGCUGGACUGGCAUCUCCAGGAUAGAUUCUCUGAAGUACUAGAAAAUGAAAAAAUUUUUGUUAGGGCGUUCGUCAGACAGUGGAAAAGAGAUCACAAUGGUUAAUUUCGCUAUGUUGGAAGAGUUACUACAGGAGACAAAUACCCUUCUUGGCUGGAGAUCACUG
rnacentral:lncRNA from 1 species